rnacentral:lncRNA from 1 species
GAUGGGGAAGCCUAGUACCUGAUUGAACCAGGACGUGAGCGGUUAGAUAAUGUCCCUGGAACAGAGUUUCCCUUGAGGCCACAUGUGGUGACAAGUGCGGUCAUAGAAUGGCAGAGGCCGGGUCUGUGGAGCCUUGUACCAAGGGAAGUGGGCCCGACACGGGUCUGGGGAUCGAUGGGGACAGCCGACAAAGGAAGCAACCCUUCGUGGUGCGCGGAUGUCAUGAGAUUAGGUUCGCCAUG